rnacentral:rRNA from 1 species
UACGAAGGGGGCUAGCGUUGUUCGGAAUCACUGGGCGUAAAGCGCACGCAGGCGGUCUGUCAAGUCGGAUGUGAAAUCCCCGGGCUCAACCUGGGAACUGCAUUCGAAACUGGCAGGCUAGAGUCUUGUAGAGGGGGGUAGAAUUCCAGGUGUAGCGGUGAAAUGCGUAGAGAUCUGGAGGAAUACCGGUGGCGAAGGCGGCCCCCUGGACAAAGACUGACGCUCAGGUGCGAAAGCGUGGGGAGCAAACAGG